AGACUGGCAGGGGAGACACCGUGAUCAGGCAGGUGGUUUUCCUAGGGCAAGGCUCAUCCCCUGCACUCCGGGUGUGCUGACCCCUGUGAUUUCCCCAAAUGCGGGAAACUCGGCUGCAUAAUUUGUGGUAGUGGGGGACUGCAUUCGUGUUUUUAUUUU
rnacentral:snRNA from 1 species